CGGAGAGNGAGCCUGAAAAACGGCUACCACAUCCAAGGAAGGCAGCAGGCGCGUAAAUUACCCAAUCCUGAUACAGGGAGGUAGUGACAAUAAAUAACAAUGCCGGGCCAUCAUUGGUCUGGCAAUUGGAAUGAGAACAAUUUAAAUCCCUUAUCGAGGAUCAAUUGGAGGGCAAGUCUGGUGCCAGCAGCCGCGGUAAUUCCAGCUCCAAUAGCGNAUAUUAAAGCUGUUGCAGCUAAAAAGC
rnacentral:rRNA from 1 species